GGCUAGGUAAUAUAAUGGAAAUGUAUCGAACUGUAAAUCCUGGAAUGACGAUUCGACCCCGUCCUUAGCCU
rfam:Macleaya cordata isolate BLH2017 scaffold7689, whole genome shotgun sequence.